rnacentral:tRNA from 1 species
AAGCUUUUAGUUUAAAAAAAACAUUUGAUUUCGGCUCAAAAAACUACGGUUAAAAUCCAUAAUGGCUUU